GCUGGGGGCUCUUAAACCCCUCAAAAAAAGCCCGCCCUCAUUUUGCACAUCCCACUCUCCACCCUCUUCCGGUAACCUCUUUCGUUGCUUCUCUUCUUCUCCGUCACUGUCGUUACGACGCCGUAUUUACUCCUCCCUCUACCAGUACUUAGGGUUCCAGCGCAUAUUUACUAGAAAUGCCAUUUUUCUCAGCUCUUGAAAUGGUAUUACUGUUGUCUUCGAUUUGAUACCCGUGAUUCCGGAAACUAGCCACGAUUAAGAACAAACAUUGACUAAAAAAGCCGUAGAGUUUUAGCCAUGGAAACCGACGAAACGCCACGUGUGCUUCCCUUUCAGCUUCAAUUCGACAAACCUGUUGCCUCUCAGAUUAAAAUUGCGGAAUGGAAUCCAGAGAAAGAUUUACUGGCUAUGGUUACUGAGGACUCCAAGAUUUUGCUGCAUCGGUUUAAUUGGCAAAGACUCUGGACAAUUUCUCCUGGAAGGUGCAUUACAUCCUUAUGUUGGCGUCCUGAUGGUAAAGCGAUAGCGGUUGGGCUUGAGGACGGAACGAUUUCAUUGCAUGAUGUUGAAAAUGGAAAGUUGUUGAGAAGCUUAAAGUCUCACACUGUUGCUGUUGUGUCCCUAAACUGGGAGGAGGAUGGACAAGUGAUUAGAGAUGAUUCUGUUAACAAUUCAAAAUAUGAGGACCGCACUUCUUGUUUCUUUCCUCCUGCACCAAGAGUUCCUCGGAUGCCUGGACUAGUACCUGGAGAUACUGGCUUCAUGGAUGAUAGUGAAGAUUCGUUUCGAGAGCUUUCAAAUUCUUCAUACCAACGAUUUAACAUUUUAUGCAGUGGUGACAAAGAUGGAAGCAUAUGCUUUAGUAUAUUUGGAAUAUUUCCAAUAGGGAAAAUAAACAUUCACAAGUUGUCUAUUCCUACUUCCUUUGCAAAUGAGCAAGCUACUUACAGACUUCUAAAUGCUUCCAUUUCCAAGGUUGCUUUGUCAAAAGACCUUUGUCAUUCGAUUGUAAUGUGUUCUGGAGAACUUAAUCAAGAUGAGGUUGAAUCGCAAGAGGGACAGCUGGGUGUACAUGGUAUGCGUGGCUUGCAUUGCUUACUGCUUGAUACUUCUAUCUUUUGGAAGAGGAAAAAUGAACUCCAUCAAGUGGCCCAACAAGCUUCUAACAUUGAGGAUUUAAUUGAAGUUAUUCGUACAUCAUUAUCAGUAAUGUGUAAGCAGUGGUCAGAUGCCAUGCACACUUUCCGUGAGAAGUUUGAUUCUCUAUCUAGUUUAAUAAUUGAUCAUGGGCUGGACUCGUCUCCCCAAGAGGAGUUUCUGAGCCUCCUAGGCGGUGCACGAACUAGUCCACCAGUCCAUCAGUUUCUAGUUAACUCCCUGGGUGAAUUGGGAGUGAAGCGUGUCUCAAAGGUCGUUUGUGGUGCUGGAAAAGAACUUCAGCAUGUUGUCCUUGAUCAUCUUCAGCCUUCUGCAGAAAUUAUUGGAUUCAGGAUGGGAGAACUAAGAGGUCUAUCACGAUGGCGCACACGUUUUCGGGGUAUUGGCCUAGAUGAGACUCUGAUCAAUAAUGCGACAGAAAAAUCUGGAAUGUUAAUAGUACAAGUUGAGCGAUUUAUGAGGGUGCUUUCCUCUGUGGUACAGCAGUUUUCAAAUUUCUUUAAUUGGCUACUAAAAUGUAUAAAGCUACUUAUGCAAGAGCCAAGUGAUCAGCUUUUACCCUAUAAUAGUGAACUUGUUGUUGUAUUCUUGAAGUUUUUAUAUGAUCAAGAUCCUGUUAGGCCCUUUUUGGAGCUGUCUGAAGUUGAUAUUGAAACUGACAUGGAAACACUGCAAAGAGUUAGAGAAUUGGUUCAUUUUGGGGGAUUUUCAGAUUGUGAAUAUCUGCGGAGGACAUUAUCAGAGGAAUUUCAACAGAUGGAGUCUAGUUUCAAGGAGGCUUUCUUGAUGCCCUUUACAACAAUAUCACAGAAGAUACUUUGUAAGGAUGUGCUUCCACUGUUUGCUCUCCCAUCUUCACCAGCACCUAUGUCUGUCACUGUUCCUAUGUCAGUAACAUUCUACAAGGAUGCCUCCACAGCUAUGUCAUCUUAUCAGACUCAUGAACAUGGGGAUUCAUGCAUAGUUCGAGCAAUAUUACUGAGGACUCUGCUUCAUUGGAAGCUGUUUUGCUGUCUGUUCCUGAUGGUUAUCAUUGUGUGGAUCUAUCUUUAUAUAAGGAAGGUCAAAUUGUUUUGUUAUUAAAUGAAACAACUGCUGCUUCUGAAAGCUUUGGAGAAUCUUGUAUGAUGAUCGUCCAGGCUAAUGAUCUCCCAUUUGUAUCUAUUUCAAGAUCCAGUUGUAUCAAUCGUUGGAACUUAAAUCAGCUAAAGGACUUUGUUAUGUAUCUACAACUGGAGAAUGAGAAGGUUCGAAUUAUUCCUCACUCUGUAGUUGCUCCUCUCGCAGUUAGUGCAUCCAGAGGCGUAGCUUGUGUUUUCGCUGCAAGAAAACGUGCCUUGGUCUACAUACUGGAUGAAGAUGAAGAUGAUAUCUCAGAUACAGAAUGACUGCCCUUUCCUAGGACUUUUCUUGGACUCUUUGGCCAACUUUUUUUCGCCAAACUUUAAGAAAAACAGGAGUUCGUUAUAUUGUUUUAUGUUGCCAUGAUUGUCAGUUAUUUGCUUUUCCCUUGACAUUAAAAGCCAAAUCUUCCAAGAGUUCAAGUUGAGAAAUUACUUGGCAGAAAAAAAGAGUAUUUUUCUUGUAUUCAGUGCUCCUUUGGCUUA